UCCAGGGUAGCCUAGUGGACAUGGCACCUGCCCGGUAAGCAGAAGGUUGUGGGUUCGAUUCCCGCUCCUGGAC